UAGGGAAUAUUGGACAAUGGGGGCAACCCUGAUCCAGCCAUGCCGCGUGAGUGAAGAAGGCCCUCGGGUUGUAAAGCUCUUUUGUCCGGAAAGAAAAGCUUCGGGUUAAUACCCCGGGGUUCUGACGGUACCGGAAGAAUAAGCACCGGCUAACUUCGUGCCAGCAGCCGCGGUAAUACGAAGGGUGCAAGCGUUACUCGGAAUUACUGGGCGUAAAGCUUGCGUAGGUGGUUGUUUAAGUCUGAUGUGAAAGCCCUGUGCUCAACCUGGGAAUGGCAUUGGAAACUGGGCAGCUAGAGUGCGGUAGAGGGUAGUCGAAUUCCCGGUGUCGCAGUGAAAUGCGUAGAGAUCGGGAGGAACAUCUGUGGCGAAGGCGACUGCCUGGACCAGCACUGACACUGAGGCACGAAAGCGUGGGGAGCAAACA
rnacentral:rRNA from 1 species